UACAGAGGGUGCGAGCGUUAAUCGGAAUUACUGGGCGUAAAGCGUGCGCAGGCGGUUAUGCAAGGCAGAUGUGAAAUCCCCGGGCUCAACCUGGGAACUGCAUUUGUGACUGCAUGGCUAGAGUGCGGCAGAGGGGGAUGGAAUUCCGCGUGUAGCAGUGAAAUGCGUAGAUAUGCGGAGGAACACCGAUGGCGAAGGCAGCCCCCUGGGUUAACACUGACGCUCAUGCACGAAAGCGUGGGGAGCAAACAGG
rnacentral:rRNA from 1 species